CCUACAGGUGGCAGCAGUGAGGAAUAUUGGUCAAUGGACGAGAGUCUGAACCAGCCAAGUAGCGUGAAGGAUGACUGCCCUAUGGGUUGUAAACUUCUUUUAUAUGGGAAUAAAAUGUUCCACGUGUGGGAUUUUGUAUGUACCAUAUGAAUAAGGAUCGGCUAACUCCGUGCCAGCAGCCGCGGUAAUACGGAGGAUCCGAGCGUUAUCCGGAUUUAUUUGGUUUAAAAGGAGCGUAGGUGGAUUGUUAAGUCAGUUGUGAAAGUUUGCGGCUCAACCGUAAAAUUGCAGUUGAAACUGGCAGUCUUGAGUACAGUAGAGGUGGGCGGAAUUCGUGGUGUAGCGGUGAAAUGCUUAGAUAUCACGAAGAACUCCGAUUGCGAAGGCAGCUCACUGGACUGCAACUGACACUGAGGCUCGAAAGUGUGGGUAUCAAACAGGAUUAGAUACCCGUGUAGUC
rnacentral:rRNA from 1 species